GGGUCAGGGAAGAGCACAGUUGUCUAAGGAUGCUGAGGGACUUGUUCCACACGUCAUUCUGAGGUCC